CAGGCCUAACACAUGCAAGUCGAACGGUAACAGGAAUUAGCUUGCUAAUUUGCUGACGAGUGGCGCACGGGUGCGUAACGCGUAUGCAAUCUACCUUGUACUGGAGUAUAGCCCAGGGAAACUUGGAUUAAUCCUCCAUAGUCUAUUGAUAUGGCAUCGUAUUAAUAGUAAAGGUUACGGUACAAGAUGAGCAUGCGUCCUAUUAGCUAGUAGGUGUGGUAACGGCACACCUAGGCAACGAUAGGUAGGGGUCCUGAGAGGGAGAUCCCCCACACUGGUACUGAGACACGGACCGGACUCCUACGGGAGGCAGCAGUGAGGAAUAUUGGACAAUGGGCGGGAGCCUGAUCCAGCCAUGCCGCGUGCAGGAAGACUGCCCUAUGGGUUGUAAACUGCUUUUAUACGGGAAGAAUAAGUGUUACGUGUAGCACGAUGACGGUACCGUAAGAGUAAGCACCGGCUAACUCCGUGCCAGCAGCCGCGGUAAUACGGAGGGUGCAAGCGUUAUCCGGAAUCAUUGGGUUUAAAGGGUCCGUAGGUGGACUAAUAAGUCAGUGGUGAAAGUCUGCAGCUUAACUGUAGAAUUGCCAUUGAUACUGUUGGUCUUGAAUUGUUGUGAAGUAACUAGAAUAUGUAGUGUAGCGGUGAAAUGCAUAGAUAUUACAUAGAAUACCGAUUGCGAAGGCAGGUUACUAACAAUAUAUUGACACUGAUGGACGAAAGC
rnacentral:rRNA from 1 species